rnacentral:rRNA from 1 species
UGGGGAAUAUUGGACAAUGGGCGAAAGCCUCAUCCAGCCAUGCCGCGUGUGUGAAGAAGGUCUUCGGAUUGUAAAGCACUUUAAGUUGGGAGGAAGGGCAUUAACCUAAUACGUUAGUGUUUUGACGUUACCGACAGAAUAAGCACCGGCUAACUCUGUGCCAGCAGCCGCGGUAAUACAGAGGGUGCAAGCGUUAAUCGGAAUUACUGGGCGUACAGCGCGCGUAGGUGGUUUGUUAAGUUGGAUGUGAAAUCCCCGGGCUCAACCUGGGAACUGCAUUCAAAACUGACUGACUAGAGUAUGGUAGAGGGUGGUGGAAUUUCCUGUGUAGCGGUGAAAUGCGUAGAUAUAGGAAGGAACACCAGUGGCGAAGGCGACCACCUGGACUAAUACUGACACUGAGGUGCGAAAGCGUGGGGAGCAAACA